rnacentral:lncRNA from 1 species
CUUGAACUCAUUGAUAAUUUGCAUUAACUUACCAUAAGUCUAGAACUAUGAAUGAGAGCCACCAUUCAUUUCAAACAGGAGGGCUUUAAUGUUAUCUAAUGCUUUUGUCCUCAGGUUUGGGAUACCCAGGGGGAGCAGACUACAGAGUAGGAGCUGGAAAACCUGGGAAAUCAGGAUAUGGAGGAUUGGGUGGAGCUGGAGGCACUGGACUUGGAGCUGGAGGUGCAGGUGGGGGUGUGGGUGGAGGUCCUGGAGGCAUAGGUGGAGGGCUAGGGGGAUUGGGAGGAGGGGCUGGUGGCCCAGCAGGAACUGGAGGAGGUAUGUGGAUAUGUGUAUGGAGUACUGAUAGGUGUCCACACCCAUCUGUUUUAAUUUGAUAUAAAUCUGAUUUAAUAUAUGGUCGUUCUGGUUUCAGGCCUCAGGUAUCCAGGAGGUGCGGGUAUUGGAGCUGGGAAGCCUGGUAAAUCAGGAUAUGGCACAGGUGCCUUGGGUGGUCAAGGCUACCUGCCAGGAGGUGGACAGCCUGGCUAUGGUGGGGGUGGUCCAGGUGGCUAUCAGCAGCCUUUCCCAGGUAAUAAGUUCACUCCCUCAAAUUUUUUUUAAUGAUUGGGAUUUAGCUACAGUUGAUAAAUAUUACAUCAACAGAAAUGCAUUGAACGCCAUAAUGUUCUUCCCUAUUAGGUUAUGGUGGAGCUGGAGCAGGAGGAGCUGGAAGUGCUCCACUUACACCUCAACAAUCAAAGGCAGCCAAAUAUGCAGCUCUCCAGGGCAUUCUAGGAGGCUAUAGAGGAGGUGCUGGGUGCCAAGGGAAAUACUGCAGGAACAGGAGGAAAUGAGAGCCAAGCAAAGAGAAGUGACCUCAGAAACCAGUGGUGCUACUGCCUAAUCUCGAAUGAACUUUGCAAUGUGCACUUCCUUGUGCACUCAGGGCACAGUGUAAGCUCCCCUUAUUAUAUUUGCACACCAAAAUACAAAUAUAGUCAUUACAUCAGCACACCACAAGAGGGUAUGAGUGAACUCAUCAGUAUAUGAACUCGUAUCCACUAGUUUAUGGCUGGUGUACGUACAGUGUUUCAGAUUAAUUAGAGCGGCAGGUUGAAACUAAUAACACUGUUUUAGUUUCAUGUGCUCAACACUGUUUCAAAUAACAAGCUAUUUACUAAGAAUGUAACCGUCUUUUUAUACUCUGUUCCACUUUAGACAUUCACAUGAGUUCCUAUUUCUGUUCUUGUGUUUCAGUUCAUUUAGUUUGUUUGGUAAGAGAACAUAACAUGCUUUUUGGUUUCUCACACCUAAUUUGUGAGUUUUUAACAAUGUAUUUUAGACUAAAAAUAAGCUCAUAGCUGCUCAUAGCUGAUUUAUUGAGAAGUUUCUCCUCAAUUCUAGAAGAUAUUCCGUACUCAAGAACAAGAAUAAAACCUAAUAAGUUUAGUUUACUCA